CCUACGGGGGGCAGCAGUGAGGAAUAUUGGUCAAUGGCCGGAAGGCUGAACCAGCCAUGCCGCGUGAAGGUCAGUGCCCUAUGGGCGUUAAACUUCUUUUGUGCGGGAGCAAUAAUGGUCACGUGUGGCCAGACGAGAGUACCGUACGAAUAAGCAUCGGCUAACUCCGUGCCAGCAGCCGCGGUAAUACGGGGGAUGCAAGCGUUAUCCGGAUUUAUUGGGUUUAACGGGUGCGUAGGCUGUGAGGUAAGUCAGCGGUGAAAUGCCCCCGCUCAACGGGGUGAAGUGCCAUUGAUACUGCCUGGCUGGAAUGCGGAUGCCGUGGGAGGAAUGUGUGGUGUAGCGGUGAAAUGCAUAGAUAUCACACAGAACACCGAUUGCGAAGGCAUCUCACGAAUCCGCGAUUGACGCUGAUGCACGAAAGCGUGGGUAUCAAACAGGAUUAGAUACCCGGGUAGUC
rnacentral:rRNA from 1 species